ACAAGCCAUUGAUGCUGUGCCGAUCAGGAAAUGACAGCAGAGACAUUCCUCAGCCACAGUCCAACCAGAGGGAAGAAGAGUAGCAGCAAACAGUGUUGUUCCGCAGGCUCUCCACAGUAAUCUGCCCUCCCAUCCAGCACGGCUCACCCCACAAAGAAGAACUACACCAGCUCCCACAGCAGCUUUGCCAGCAGGGCCUUGCUCCGCAUCACUGCUAGAUGACUUCCCCGGGCCUAGCCAUUGCGCUCAAAGCCCUGGGACCUGUCGCACCUCGCAGACAGCCAUAUUGAUGACGUCAGGCACAAGCAAUGCAACAAUGUCGGAUCCCAAGAUGGCCACCCAUGGGCAGCAGAGAGAAGCCCUGAGAGGGUCGCUGGCCCUGCUGGAUCAUUGCCCACUUACCACCAACUUGAGUAUUCCACCCAAGCAUUUGGUAUGCUUGUAAGUGAUUGUUGGCUCCAAUAUGAUUAGCAGUAUCGGCGCAGAAUGGUAGCCAGAGCCCAUUUGUGCUGGGAUUGCCAGGACAUGAAUCUCUGGUUGCUGAUAAUGACUCCUAACAGGCCUGUUUAGCCCUUUCCGCACAGUGCACAGGCACAAGGCAACACCACAGCUAGUGUAGGCACAGGUGUCAAUAAAAAGAGCCUAUGUUGGUUUUACAUUACCGAUGGUACUCAACAUGUUGUUUUCAAUACGAAUGCUUCUCUUGUGGGGCUUUGCACCCCACAAUCAAGUGCUUUAACAAACCAAAGCUGGAACUGCCAAAUGCGCUAAGAGCGAUGACCCCAGCAAACACCAAAAGGAUGGAGCAGUGGCUAAGACAAUUAGAGGGAAGCCCAAAUACUCCAGGAUGGUUUCAUUAGGGGGUUCUGAAGAGCCCUCUUUGGCAGUCAGUGCAGGAUAGUGAACACAUAGUAUGGGAAAAAAUCAUAAAAGAAGUCCAACUUGGUCAAAUGACUGGUCCCUUUCUAGAGCCCCCCUUUCAGAAUCUUAGAGUUUUCCCACUGGCCUAGUAACAAAAAAGGAACCUGGCAAAUUCAGGCUGAUCCAUCAGGGUCAAAAGGGAUGAAUCCAUGGUUUAGUAUUCAUCCUUUGACAAGGCACUCAACUUGGUCAGGGGAGCAGGAAAGGGGGCACUCGUGGCAAAAUCUGACAUAGAGUUGGCGUUUCUACUACUUCCGGUAAACCCAGUAUGCUUCCACCUGCUGAUCUGUGCAUUCUACCGUUAUUACUUUGUUGACAUGUGCCUCCCGAUGGGGUGUUCAAUAUCCUGCGACUACUUUGAGCUUAUUAACACUUUUUUUGAAAGGCUGGUGAGCCAGGAAAAGGGCUGUAAAUAACUCAUCCACUACUUGGAUGAUUUCCUAUUUGUAGGACCGGGCCAAUCUCCACAAUGCAUCAACCUCGUGGGUGCAUUUUGUGAGCUCAUGUUCUUUAUCAGUGUUCCCGUGGCUGAGGAAAAAAAGAAGGACCAGUAACGGUGCAGCAGCAGAGGCAGUUCGUCAUUGGUUCACAGAGGACGAGGUCAAGGGUAUAACUAGAUGGGACUCCCACAGGUUCCAGAUCUACAUAAGCCAACAUUUACUGUGAUGAUCACCUAGGUAUGUCAAAAGCUACAGUUUGGAUCCUGGGGCAUUCCUACGUUUAUUGAGCAGCAAGACAAGCUUCCAUCUGCCCAUAUGGUCAACAACUCAGCUUUCCGGAGUAAAUGGUAUGCAUUCACUGGAGCGGUAUUAGGGACAGGACAGUACUAGUGAUCCAUGGGGGGGUAAUGAUCUGGGGUUGGGUAGAAACAUUGACAGGGACAGUGUUUUGGCAUGGUCCACAAUCAUAGUUGGGCAUGUGUGGAGAUACGCCAGGGAUCAUUUAGCCUUAGAAUGCUGCAGGAAAAAAUUGAAUGUAACUGUAUCUGCAUUCGUAAGGGGGAUGAAAGGCAUAGUGGUGAGACACAGGGAAAUGGAGUGAGAUGUCUUUGUUUACUUCGGAGGGAUGAGGUACACUUCAAUCCUAUUGGUCUCAAUAUUUUCAAUAUGAAUCUCCAAACCAGUGUCCAAGCAGUGCUGUCUGUGUUGGGGCACCAUGCCGGCUAGGAAUAGCCGGAUUGGUGGUGGCUGAAUACAACAUCAAACAGUGCUUAUUGGUAAUUGUUUUGGUAAGUUAAACAGUUGGUCUGCAGGCUACGGCUGUAACCAACUGCAGGAAACUCCUGGGAGCUGCAAGUUUGAUUUGUGUCUGCUGGGUGUCCUACAGUUGGCAAUUUAUGUUAAAGAUGUUUUAUUUAACAUGUUAAUAAAGCUGUGGCCGCUAAUUUAUCCAACUGA